rnacentral:ncRNA from 1 species
AAAUACUAUUAGGGGAGCUGGAAUGGGCCGGCUGAGAAAAUGUACCAUCAUACAUUGACCCUGGAACCUGAUCCGGAUAAUGCCGGCGUAGGAAGCGAUUCUAGUUCAUCG